UCUAAAUAUGUUAGUUGGGUCUGUUUAAAAUGCAGUAACCCACAUGUGAGACAAGCUAAUCGCUAGCGUCGCUAACGGCUACAGUGAGUCAACCGAGCCUUUGUCCCUUUCAAAUGUGCUACUCUGAGUUGGUGCAACCACACACCUGUGUGGGGAACAGCUAAUAGCGAUGGGCCUUCGAUCGGCGACAGGCAGGAAGCGGUGGAUCGAGCUUUUGUCCUGUUGACGUGCUGCCGCUCCUGUUUGUGUGUUGCGUUAGCCGUUAGCAUGUCUUUAGGCCUUUGCACUUUAGAGCGACAGCUGGUCGAUCGCUACAAAAAGAACCUGCAGAUGAACGCGGUUAUGUUUAUUACCCCGUCCUGUCCAGCCUAAAUCAACUUGUGAUUUGGGGUUAUGUCAUUGUUCUAUCAAAUUCUAACAUGAUUAGUUGGAAUGAUUACUGUGUUGUGUUUCAAGCUUAGUUGCUAAUUAGUCACAUCUCUACAAUACCUGCUGCUUAUCUGGUCAGUUACCGAUAGCUUGUACCAUAGCCAUUAUAUUUGUAGGACCAAUACAAUUUACAGUAAAUGUAACAGUCUUUUCUAUACUGUAGGAGGGCAAAUCCCAGUUGCCCACAUGCAAGGAGGCUGUCAAACAGAGAAAUCACUGCAGACUGUUGGUACACAGACAUCUGCUGCCCAGCUCAGGAGUGAAGGUGAUGGUGAGGACAGCCACAGCUUCCAUCUGGUAGAGGACUGCUUCCGCUCAGUCUUCCAAAUAGUGAUGAGAACAAGGAUCACCACAUCUCCCUGUUUACCCUACUUUCAUGCAUUUCGUCUGCAAGGCCCUGCAAAAGCUUCUCCUUCGUCCUCAAACCCCCAGACUUCUUAAUUAACUCAGUAACCUAUACAUUGCACAUUGGAGUGUGAAGGUAACAGUUUGUUCUAGCUUUGGAGUAGUGGUGUAUUUUUUUGGUUUACAAUAAAGUUGGCUUUAACUAUUA